CCUACGGGAGGCAGCAGUGAGGAAUAUUGGUCAAUGGACGAGAGUCUGAACCAGCCAAGUAGCGUGAAGGAUGACUGCCCUAUGGGUUGUAAACUUCUUUUAUAUGGGAAUAAAAUGUUCCACGUGUGUGCUUUUGUAUGUACCAUAUGAAUAAGGAUCGGCUAACUCCGUGCCAGCAGCCGCGGUAAUACGGAGGAUCCGAGCGUUAUCCGGAUUUAUUGGGUUUAAAGGGAGCGUAGGUGGAUUGUUAAGGCAGUUGUGAAAGUUUGCGGCUCAACCGUAAAAUUGCAGUUGAAACUGGCAGUCUUGAGUACAGUAGAGGUGGGCGGAAUUCGUGGUGUAGCGGUGAAAUGCUUAGAUAUCACGAAGAACUCCGAUUGCGAAGGCAGCUUACUAAACUGCCACUGACAUUGAUGCUCGAAAGUGUGGGUAUCAAACAGGAUUAGAUACCCGUGUAGUC
rnacentral:rRNA from 1 species